GACGAACGCUGGCGGCGUGCUUAACACAUGCAAGUCGAACGGAAAGGCCCUGCUUUUGUGGGGUGCUCGAGUGGCGAACGGGUGAGUAACACGUGAGUAACCUGCCCUUGACUUUGGGAUAACUCCAGGAAACUGGGGCUAAUACCGGAUAGGAGCUCCUGCUGCAUGGUGGGGGUUGGAAAGUUUCGGCGGUUGGGGAUGGACUCGCGGCUUAUCAGCUUGUUGGUGGGGUAGUGGCUUACCAAGGCUUUGACGGGUAGCCGGCCUGAGAGGGUGACCGGCCACAUUGGGACUGAGAUACGGCCCAGACUCCUACGGGAGGCAGCAGUGGGGAAUAUUGCGCAAUGGGCGGAAGCCUGAUGCAGCAACGCCGCGUGCGUGAUGACGGCCUUCGGGUUGUAAACCGCUUUCGCCUGUGACGAAGCGUGAGUGACGGUAAUGGGUAAAGAAGCACCGGCUAACUACGUG
rnacentral:rRNA from 1 species